rnacentral:rRNA from 1 species
AUUGAACGCUGGCGGCAUGCCUUACACAUGCAAGUCGAACGGCAGCAUGAUCUAGCUUGCUAGAUUGAUGGCGCGUGGCGCGGGCGUGAGUGAUACAUCUUAACGUGCCCUGUAUUGGGGGAUAACAAGUCGAAAGAUUAGCUCAUACAGCGUACGACCUGAGGGUGAAAGUGGGGGACCGCAAGGCCUCAUGCUAUAUUGGCGGCCGAUGUCUGAUUAGCUAGUUGGGGAGGUAAAGGCUCACCAAGGCGACGAUCAGUAGCUGGUCUGAGAGGAUGAUCAGCCACACUGGAACUGAGACACGGCCCAGACUCCUACGGGAGGCAGCAGUGGGGAAUUUUGGACAAUGGGCGAAAGCCUGAUCCAGCAAUGCCGCGUGUGUGAAGAAGGCCUUCGGGUUGUAAAGCACUUUUGUCCGGAAAGAAAAGCAUCUGGUUAAUACCUGGCGUUGAUGACGGUACCGGAAGAAUAAGGACCGGCUAACUACGUG